rnacentral:rRNA from 1 species
AUUGAACGCUGGCGGUAUGCUUAACACAUGCAAGUCGAACGGCGGCAUGGUCUAGCUUGCUAGACUGAUGGCGAGUGGCGGACGGGUGAGUAACGCGUAGGAAUAUGCCAUGAAGAGUGGGACAACUUGGGGAAACUCAAGCUAAUACCGCAUGUACUCGAGAGAGUAAGCUGGGGACCUUUAGGCCUGGCGCUUUAAGAUUAGCCUGCGUCCGAUUAGCUAGCUGGUAGGGUAAAGGCCUACCAAGGCGACGAUCGGUAGCUGGUCUGAGAGGAUGAUCAGCCACACUGGAACUGAGAGACGGUCCAGACUCCUACGGGAGGCAGCAGUGGGGAAUAUUGGACAAUGGGGGGAACCCUGAUCCAGCAAUGCCGCGUGUGUGAAGAAGGCCUGAGGGUUGUAAAGCACUUUCAGUGGGGAGGAGGUUUGGAAGGUUAAGAGCUAUUCAAAUGGACGUUACCCACAGAAGAAGCACCGGCUAACUCCGUGCCAGCAGCCGCAGUAA